GACGUAGGGCGCGAGCGUUGUCCGGAUUUAUUGGGCGUAAAGAGCUCGUAGGCGGCUUGUCGCGUCGACCGUGAAAACUUGGGGCUCAACCCCAAGCCUGCGGUCGAUACGGGCAGGCUAGAGUUCGGUAGGGGAGACUGGAAUUCCUGGUGCAGCGGUGAAAUGCGCAGAUAUCAGGAAGAACACCCGUGGCGAAAGCGGCUCUCUGGAACGGUACUGACGCUGAGACGCGAAAGCGUGGGGAGCGAACAGG
rnacentral:rRNA from 1 species